UACGUAGGGGGCAAGCGUUGUUCGGAAUUACUGGGCGUAAAGGGCUCGUAGGCGGCCAACUAAGUCAGACGUGAAAUCCCUCGGCUUAACCGGGGAACUGCGUCUGAUACUGGAUGGCUUGGAUGUGGGAGAGGGAUGCGGAAUUCCAGGUGUAGCGGUGAAAUGCGUAGAUAUCUGGAGGAACACCGGUGGCGAAGGCGGCAUCCUGGACCAUUAUUGACGCUGAGGAGCGAAAGCCGGGGGAGCAAACGGG
rnacentral:rRNA from 1 species